rnacentral:rRNA from 1 species
CCUACGGGGGGCAGCAGUGAGGAAUAUUGGUCAAUGGGAGAGAUCCUGAACCAGCCAAGCCGCGUGAGGGAAGACGGCCCUAUGGGUUGUAAACCUCUUUUGCCGGAGCACAAAUCCCGGGACGUGUCCCGGCCUGCGUGUAUCCGAAGAAAAAGCAUCGGCUAACUCCGUUCCAGCAGCCGCGGUACUACGGAGGAUGCGAGCGUUAUCCGGAUUUAGUGGGUUAAAGGGGUGGAUAGGGGGUCCGUUAAGUCGGCGGUAAAAUUGCGGGGCUAAACCCCGUCGAGCGGUUGAAACUGGGAGACUUGAAUUGGCGAGAGGUACGCGGAAUGCGCGGUGUAGCGGUGAAAUGCAUAGAUAUCGGGCAGAACUCCGAUUGCGAAGGCAGCGUACCGGCGCCAGACUGACGCUGAGGCACGAAAGCGUGGGGAUCGAACAGGAUUAGAUACCCUUGUAGUC